CAAAAGUCAUGCGCGGAUUUUCAACAGCCCCUGGGUGGGUCCCCCGCAUCCAUGUGCUUGUUCAAGCGUCAGUUGUAUAACAAGAAAGCUGAGUAAAGCUGGAGAGGGGAACAAUACAGCCAAGGACUUCCAGUGGUCUGUGAGCUCCCUAUUGGGAACCAUUGAUGUUCAUAACAUUGCCUCGCCAGUGAAGCUGAAUGUAAAUAUUUUGGAAGGCCAUCUUUGACCUCGUGGACCAGGGCCAUACCCUAGGGAUGGCAAAGCAAUACACUGGAAAGAGCUUGUGGGCUCAACACUAUUGAGCUGACACUCAGGCCUGGGCCACCAUCUCGAACGCUGUGGGAGGCGGCUUUGGCUCUCAUCUGAGACAUAUUUUAUUGUAUGGAAUUACUGAACUAGAUGAACCAGAUGAGCCCCAGGUUGAACCAGAAGUGUCUCCUCACUGUGGCUGAAAUUACUGCAGGGUGAUUGAUGCAAGGUAAUCGAGUUGGCCACACCUGAGACAAGGUGCUCCUGGGAGGACCGAUGCCA